AUUUAAGUAGCUUAAUAGAGAGUAUAAUAUUGAAGAUAUUAGGGUGAUUGAUAAUAAUCCUUAAAUA
rnacentral:tRNA from 1 species